rnacentral:lncRNA from 1 species
CCGUCCCAAGUACCUGGGCCCGUUCUCCGAGCAGACCCCGUCGUACCUGACCGGCGAGUUCCCCGGCGACUACGGGUGGGACACCGCCGGAUUGUCUGCUGACCCCGAGACGUUCGCCAAGAACAGGGAGCUGGAGGUGAUCCACUCGCGGUGGGCGAUGCUCGGCGCCCUCGGGUGCGUGUUCCCGGAGAUCCUGUCCAAGAACGGCAUCAAGUUCGGCGAGGCCGUGUGGUUCAAGGCCGGCGCCCAGAUCUUCUCCGAGGGCGGCCUCGACUACCUGGGCAACCCCAACCUGGUGCACGCGCAGAGCAUCCUCGCCAUCUGGGCGGUGCAGGUGGUGCUCAUGGGCUUCAUCGAGGGCUACCGUGUUGGUGGCGGGCCCCUCGGCGAGGGCCUCGAUAUCAUCUACCCAGGCGGCGCCUUCGACCCACUUGGCCUCGCCGACGACCCUGACACCGCCGCCGAGCUCAAGGUGAAGGAGCUCAAGAACGGCCGCCUCGCCAUGUUCUCCAUGUUCGGCUUCUUCGUGCAGGCCAUCGUCACCGGGAAGGGGCCAGUUGAGAACCUCUUCGACCACGUCGCCGACCCGGUCAACAACAACGCCUGGGC